UACGUAGGGGGCAAGCGUUGUCCGGAAUUAUUGGGCGUAAAGAGCGUGUAGGCGGUCCGGUAAGUCAGCUGUGAAAGUCAAGGGCUCAACCCUUGAAUGCCGGUUGAUACUGUCGGGCUAGAGUCCGGAAGAGGCGAGUGGAAUUCCUGGUGUAGCGGUGAAAUGCGCAGAUAUCAGGAGGAACACCGGUGGCGAAGGCGGGUCUCGUGGGCCGAUACUGACGCUGAGGAGCGAAAGCGUGGGGAGCAAACAGG
rnacentral:rRNA from 1 species